CACCAUGUGACCUCUGGCAUGAAAAUUAAUGCGACGUUCCUUUUUAGACUGUUGGCCAUUGACCACCAUGCCAAAACAUUCCCUAUGUAAACCUGCCUAUCUGAGUGGUUAAUGUACAUUUCCCCCAAUGGAUGUCACCAUAAGAUUUGGUUGGUGCAGAAGAUGGCCGCCGAAGCACCCAUCUGUCCUUAAUCCAUUGCAUGCAUGAUGUCACAGCAGGCGUCAUCGAUAUCCUGUCAAAUCAACUCUAUUGCAUAAAAGCACAGGUCUUGUGUUAUGUCCCGUUUCCCUGAAGGUCAAGCUGCUGUAAUGUAGGGCAAGCUACUGAUUCUCUGCAUUUCAUGAACUCAAGAUCGAAUGUUUCAUCCUGUUUGAUCACAAACCACAUCCAAGGUUGUGUAGAGUACGCUGCUGAAAUCAGUUUCACCCAUUAUGAGACGACUAGUCAUUAGAGCAAGAGUGCCUACAACCAAUAUUUGUAUUGACUGAACAAGCCAGGAAAGGCAGUUUGGUACUCUAAUUUCUACCCCAUGUGGAUUAGUGUGUGUUGACAAGUCAGCAUCUUCGCUUUAACGUUAAAUUGUUUUAGACUUAUGGUUUAUCAUUGUUCAAAUAAUAAAACUACCCUUCCUGGGGUCCAGAAAGUA